rnacentral:rRNA from 1 species
GGUAGUCCACGCCGUAAACGAUGUCGACUUGGAGGUUGUGCCCUUGAGGCGUGGCUUCCGGAGCUAACGCGUUAAGUCGACCGCCUGGGGAGUACGGCCGCAAGGUUAAAACUCAAAUGAAUUGACGGGGGCCCGCACAAGCGGUGGAGCAUGUGGUUUAAUUCGAUGCAACGCGAAGAACCUUACCUACUCUUGACAUCCAGAGAACUUAGCAGAGAUGCUUUGGUGCCUUCGGGAACUCCGAGACAGGUGCUGCAUGGCUGUCGUCAGCUCGUGUUGUGAAAUGUUGGGUUAAGUCCCGCAACGAGCGCAACCCUUAUCCUUUGUUGCCAGCGGUUAGGCCGGGAACUCAAAGGAGACUGCCAGUGAUAAACUGGAGGAAGGUGGGGAUGACGUCAAGUCAUCAUGGCCCUUACGAGUAGGGCUACACACGUGCUACAAUGGCGCAUACAAAGAGAAGCGACCUCGCGAGAGCAAGCGGACCUCAUAAAGUGCGUCGUAGUCCGGAUUGGAGUCUGCAACUCGACUCCAUGAAGUCGGAAUCGCUAGUAAUCGUAGAUCAGAAUGCUACGGUGAAUACGUUCCCGGGCCUUGUACACACCGCCCGUCACACCAUGGGAGUGGGUUGCAAAAGAAGUAGGUAGCUUAACCUUCGGGAGGGCGCUUACCACUUUGUGAUUCAUGACUGGGGUGAAGUCGUAACAAGGUAACCGUAGGGGAACCUGC